GGUUAAGCGACUAAGCGUACACGGUGGAUGCCCUGGCAGUCAGAGGCGAUGAAGGACGUGCUAAUCUGCGAUAAGCGUCGGUAAGGUGAUAUGAACCGUUAUAACCGGCGAUUUCCGAAUGGGGAAACCCAGUGUGAUUCGUCACACUAUCAUUACGUGAAUACAUAGCGUAAUGAAGCGAACCGGGGGAACUGAAACAUCUAAGUACCCCGAGGAAAAGAAAUCAACCGAGAUUCCCCCAGUAGCGGCGAGCGAACGGGGAGCAGCCCAGAGUCUGAAUCAGCUUGUGUGUUAGUGGAACGGUCUGGAAAGUCCGACGGUACAGGGUGAUAGUCCCGUACACCAAAAUGCACAGGUUGUGAACUCGAAGAGUAGGGCGGGACACGUGGUAUCCUGUCUGAAUAUGGGGGGACCAUCCUCCAAGGCUAAAUACUCCUGACUGACCGAUAGUGAACCAGUACCGUGAGGGAAAGGCGAAAAGAACCCCGGCGAGGGGAGUGAAAAAGAACCUGAAACCGUGUACGUACAAGCAGUGGGAGCAUCCUUUUGGGUGUGACUGCGUACCUUUUGUAUAAUGGGUCAGCGACUUAUAUUCUGUAGCAAGGUUAACCGUAUAGGGGAGCCGAAGGGAAACCGAGUCUUAACUGGGCGUUAAGUUGCAGGGUAUAGACCCGAAACCCGGUGAUCUAGCCAUGGGCAGGUUGAAGGUUGGGUAACACUAACUGGAGGACCGAACCGACUAAUGUUGAAAAAUUAGCGGAUGACUUGUGGCUGGGGGUGAAAGGCCAAUCAAACCGGGAGAUAGCUGGUUCUCCCCGAAAGCUAUUUAGGUAGCGCCUCGUGAAUUCAUCUUCGGGGGUAGAGCACUGUUUCGGCUAGGGGGUCAUCCCGACUUACCAACCCGAUGCAAACUGCGAAUACCGAAGAAUGUUAUCACGGGAGACACACGGCGGGUGCUAACGUCCGUCGUGAAGAGGGAAACAACCCAGACCGCCAGCUAAGGUCCCAAAGUCAUGGUUAAGUGGGAAACGAUGUGGGAAGGCACAGACAGCCAGGAUGUUGGCUUAGAAGCAGCCAUCAUUUAAAGAAAGCGUAAUAGCUCACUGGUCGAGUCGGCCUGCGCGGAAGAUGUAACGGGGCUAAACCAUGCACCGAAGCUGCGGCAGCGACACUAUGUGUUGUUGGGUAGGGGAGCGUUCUGUAAGCCGUUGAAGGUGUAUCGUGAGGUAUGCUGGAGGUAUCAGAAGUGCGAAUGCUGACAUAAGUAACGAUAAUGCGGGUGAAAAACCCGCACGCCGGAAGACCAAGGGUUCCUGUCCAACGUUAAUCGGGGCAGGGUGAGUCGACCCCUAAGGCGAGGCCGAAAGGCGUAGUCGAUGGGAAACAGGUUAAUAUUCCUGUACUUGGUGUUACUGCGAAGGGGGGACGGAGAAGGCUAUGUUAGCCGGGCGACGGUUGUCCCGGUUUAAGCAUGUAGGCGGAGGUUCCAGGUAAAUCCGGUACCUUUUUAACGCUGAGGUGUGAUGACGAGGCACUACGGUGCUGAAGUAACAAAUGCCCUGCUUCCAGGAAAAGCCUCUAAGCAUCAGGUAACACAAAAUCGUACCCCAAACCGACACAGGUGGUCAGGUAGAGAAUACCAAGGCGCUUGAGAGAACUCGGGUGAAGGAACUAGGCAAAAUGGUGCCGUAACUUCGGGAGAAGGCACGCUGAUAUGUAGGUGAAGUGAUUUACUCAUGGAGCUGAAAUCAGUCGAAGAUACCAGCUGGCUGCAACUGUUUAUUAAAAACACAGCACUGUGCAAACACGAAAGUGGACGUAUACGGUGUGACGCCUGCCCGGUGCCGGAAGGUUAAUUGAUGGGGUUAUCCGUAAGGAGAAGCUCUUGAUCGAAGCCCCGGUAAACGGCGGCCGUAACUAUAACGGUCCUAAGGUAGCGAAAUUCCUUGUCGGGUAAGUUCCGACCUGCACGAAUGGCGUAAUGAUGGCCAGGCUGUCUCCACCCGAGACUCAGUGAAAUUGAACUCGCUGUGAAGAUGCAGUGUACCCGCGGCAAGACGGAAAGACCCCGUGAACCUUUACUAUAGCUUGACACUGAACACUGGUCCUUGAUGUGUAGGAUAGGUGGGAGGCUUUGAAGUGUGGACGCCAGUCUGCAUGGAGCCAUCCUUGAAAUACCACCCUUUAAUGGCUGGUGUUCUAACGUGGACCCGUAAUCCGGGUUGCGGACAGUGUCUGGUGGGUAGUUUGACUGGGGCGGUCUCCUCCUAAAGAGUAACGGAGGAGCACGAAGGUUAGCUAAUCCUGGUCGGACAUCAGGAGGUUAGUGCAAAGGCAUAAGCUAGCUUGACUGCGAGAGUGACGGCUCGAGCAGGUGCGAAAGCAGGUCUUAGUGAUCCGGUGGUUCUGAAUGGAAGGGCCAUCGCUCAACGGAUAAAAGGUACUCCGGGGAUAACAGGCUGAUACCGCCCAAGAGUUCAUAUCGACGGCGGUGUUUGGCACCUCGAUGUCGGCUCAUCACAUCCUGGGGCUGAAGUAGGUCCCAAGGGUAUGGCUGUUCGCCAUUUAAAGUGGUACGCGAGCUGGGUUUAGAACGUCGUGAGACAGUUCGGUCCCUAUCUGCCGUGGGCGCUGGAGAAUUGAGGGGGGCUGCUCCUAGUACGAGAGGACCGGAGUGGACGCAUCACUGGUGUUCGGGUUGUCAUGCCAAUGGCAUUGCCCGGUAGCUAAAUGCGGAAGAGAUAAGUGCUGAAAGCAUCUAAGCACGAAACUUGCCCCGAGAUGAGUUCUCCCUGAGACUUUAAGUCUCCUGAAGGAACGUUAAAGACGAUGACGUUGAUAGGUCGGGUGUGUAAGUGUAGCGAUACAUUGAGCUAACCGAUACUAAUGAACCGUGAGGCUUAACCUU
rnacentral:rRNA from 1 species